rnacentral:rRNA from 1 species
GGACCUCAGAUCAGGCAAGACU